AUUUGUGAAAGCAGAUGAGUCUUCGGACCUGAGGCGAGGUGCUGCAUGGUUGUCGUCAGCUCGUGCCGUGAGGUGUCGGCUUAAGUGCCAUAACGAGCGCAACCCCCACCGACAGUUGCUAACUGGUCAAGCAGAGGACUCUGUCGGGACUGCCGGCGCAAGCUGUGAGGAAGGCGGGGAUGACGUCAAAUCAGCACGGCCCUUACGUCCGGGGCGACACACGUGUUACAAUGGCAGGUACAGCGGGAAGCGACCGAGCGAUUGGCAGCGGAACCCGAAAACCUGUCUCAGUUCGGAUCGGAGUCUGCAACCCGACUCCGUGAAGCUGGAUUCGCUAGUAAUCGCGCAUCAGCCAUGGCGCGGUGAAUACGUUCCCGGGCCUUGUACACACCGCCCGUCAAGCCAUGGGAGCCGGGAGUGCCUGAAGGCCGUGACCGCAAGGAGCGGCCUAAGGUAAAACUGGUGACUGGGGCUAAGUCGUAACAAGGUAGCCGUACCGGAAGGUGCGGCUGGAACACCUCCUUUCUGGAGC
rnacentral:rRNA from 1 species